AUGACAAGUGUCAACGGAGACCACUUGUCAUCCAUGCAAUCGGCGGUGGCUAUCUCGAGACAGGGAUGGAAGAAACAAAUUUUUUCUUUUAAAAAAAUUGAUAGAGAGAGAAGGCCGGAAAAGAAAGAAACGAGGCGGAGGGAAGUGGACUCGCGGUGGUCGCCGGUGAGGUCUCGCGGCGGCGCCACUAACAAUGAUGAUCGGGAAUAG